rnacentral:lncRNA from 1 species
GGGAUAAGGAUGGAGCUCCCUGGCAGGGGACUUAGUGGAAUUCCACUAACUUGGUGAUAAUUACCAUAAUGCCCCUCGACUAAUCCGUUUAGCGACACGGAUCAACUACCUUUCGCAGGCCCUUCCGAAAGUCCGAUUGAGCUCAAAUUUGGCAGGAAUGUUCGUUUUUACUUAACAAGUCCACUGAAAUUUUAACAUUUCAGUUUCGACCCCGUUUGGUCACUGCGAACUGUCCCGAACUGUAAUCUUUAUCAGAUAACUUCCAGAUGCUAUUUCUCUCUCUACAGGUGUCAGAAAAAUCUGAAACUUCAAAACUAACCUUAUAAUAAUGUUCCUGACAUCUCUGCCAAUUUUCGUAAUUUUCUGACACUGUGCAUUUUCUGCUAAUUUUCUCAGUCCCGUUCUUUACAGAAAAUUUCAAAUCUUCUGUUUUUGCUCCGAUUUUAACACGAACACUUCCAAAACAUGCCAAGGGACUUUCACAAGCUACCAAUUCAAUUUGGAAGGCAUUCCUUUUCAUUUUGACAUCAUAUGGUUCAUUUCGACCAAAUCGACUACAUAAUUCAGCAUUCGAGUUACAAUGGCAAUUGGAGUUCUUUUGUCACUUCGUUUCCACUUGUAUCUAUUCCCACACUUCCAAAGUGUGCCAAUGACUGAUCUCAAGCUUCUAAUUCAGUUUAGAAGUCUCUAAUUUCCAUUUUAGCAUUAUUGUGCCCACUUUGAUCACAAUUAGCUUCUAAUCAAGUUUCAGUCUAUUACAAUCUCCCCUCCUUAAAAUAGUUUCGUCCUCGAAACUCGAUUUCAUACUUCAAUUCUCCUGGUCAAAUAGAUGAGGGAAGAGAUUCCAUCACUCGCAAUUUCCACUUCUCAACGAAGGGUUCAUUCUAACAGCUCCACACUUAAAUGAUCUGACGGCAUAAUCCGCCAACAUUUCCCGUGGCUACUCAUUACUCAAGUGUCUCCUAGAGACCACUUUACUUUCUCUUUAUCCUUGGAUGCUACAAGCCACCAUCAAUGUCCAUUCGUCUUGCAACGAAUUUAUACGAACCCGCCAUUCAUGGUUCAGGCCAAAACAAACUAACAGAGUUGUCGGUCACACCGACCAUCGGUUCCCACAGGUGGACCAGGGGCCACCAACCCUACGUAGGCCUACAGCCGAAACCGAUCUCGACGACGCCUAGCGUCUCUCGCUCGCAAGCGCAAACCCAAUUAUCACGUAGCAAAGUUCUCAUUUGAGACAUCGCAUACCUGCUCCAACUGGGAGCAACCGAGACCCUAAACCACGCCAAAUUCUCGGGUUGGGUCGCUACACACCCUGUGUGUCCUCGAUCUCACGAUCUAACACGUGGCAUUCCACGUACUCGGGUCUAUGCUCGGACUACCGUCCUGACCAAAACUCUCUGCCCUACCCGUAGGUACCGGGACGCUGCCUCUCGCAGCUGACUGCGCCUGCCCAAUGGGCCCAGGCUCCACAGUCCAAAAAGGGUCCAGGCACGGCUCGUCCCCAAGCACUACCCGCCAACGUCGUUUCACACGAAAUGCUCUACAGAGCUACAAGUAUAACUAUCGGCUCCUAAGCACCUAGUGCGAGCCACCAGCCCCGCGAGUGAUCCAUGGCACGCUUCACACUUAGCAACGCUCAGGUGCUACUGCCAACACACUCUCCUGGCUGAAUCAGAAUCCACAUUCUACGGACAGCUAUACUCAAGCGUCCUACACUAUCGCGUCUCUUGCCAGACAUCUCACGCUAGGCAAUUCAGCCUAUGUCUCAAUUACGCAACCACAAUUCCUCAACUUAUUUAAGGUACAACUCAACUAACUCGCCAAAACCAGGCGAUCAUCUAACCACGCCACAACAGUGACGCCCUUACCACUACACAAUCCAUCGGAAAUACCAUCUGGAUUUUCGAACUCUAGAAACGUCUUCUAACGUUUCUACUUUAAUUCUCAUUACCACCCGAAUGGUUUAGAGAAUAGGUCCACCAUGUCCAUCUUCAUCUCGAGCCCCAACAUUGGCUCACUGUGACUGCUCGCUAGCACGAUCCAACUGUCUAUUCCACAAUAGACAAUAUAUUCUCUUCAUCCCUGCAUGCUAGGGUCAAAUCCAAAUUUCUAUCACACUCUUGCAUGUACCGCUCGGAGUUCGUAUCGUUUCCAAGUAUACAAUCUUCUUACUGAAGGCAAAUUACCAUCACUUCACUUAUCCAAUACUACACGCGGCCUUGCCGUGUGAAAGUCACCACAAUCAUUCCUCUCGAAGUAAAAGGUCAACCAACAGACCUUUCCGAAUUCUAGGAUAACGACUACAACUCCCUUCCGGGUGUCACUUAACACUCGAUUAACCACUUAAGCUCAAUAUCAGUCGCUUAUCCUUCAUUCUUCACUAAUCAAUUCGCGCAUCUUCCGCACAAAUAUCACUUAACUUCGACCAUAAGAUUCAAUUUGAUACUUCCUCAGAAGUUCAUAGCUUAGGACUGCGUAUAACUUUGACACAUUUUCUGUCGAAGUUUCCUUAUUUCAUAAUCGGCCUUGUUUCCAAUAUCCAAAGAUCUGCCUCUUUUCCACCAAAUAUAGGCGGAUUAAACCGCAUAAACGCCGUCAGUCCUACUAACGAUUGCUUGUGCUCGGCCCUUGUUGCAGUCGAAUCAGAAUCAGACGGCCCAGAAACCACUGGAGGGAUAAUCACUGAAGGGGGGGGGGCACAAUCGCUGGCGGAUCAGGUAUAGGUGCAUCUUGACUCCCAGAUGCUGGUGUUGUCGCCUGUUGCGACACUAGAUCCUGUAACCUCCUUAUGUUCUCUUCCUGCCUCUGCAUAGCUCCAACCAACGCGCUCACCGGAGCACGUAGCUCCUGAACUUCUCUAGAUCCAGUCUGCUCUGGCAUCCUAGAAGGUGAUGCCAGAGUGGAUCUCGUCGCACGUCGCGACUUUCUCUUGAAAUAAACCAUUUACACUAGUAAAACAAUACCAAUCAGGCGAAAGCAAUCAAGUGUAUUUAUACUCAACUCUUAGCUUUAUGUUGUGGGCCCCCAACAUAACUCCUUUAGUUGUAUAUAAAUAACACUUGGAUCAGCCCCUAAUUAAUAUUAGAGACUUACUAACAACUAACCAAAUUAAUUUAGCUUUCGCUAUCAUUAGAUUCGCGCCACUCGCGUUCCUAGUUUCUAGGUUUCCAUUCCUAAGUCCCCUAGGUCAGCCUAGACUUUCACUAUCACUUGCUCUGAUACCACUCUAUCUGUCACGUCCCGCUAUCGCCAAUUUGGUCGAUCCGGGCCCGUACACAGACGCCGAACGAACAGCACCUCCUCUGUUCGCCCAAGGCUCAACAACAACGAAUACAUGUAUAAAGAAAUAAACAAUUCCCAGGAUCACAUUUCAAUAUACAUGGCUUGCACGAAGGCAAGCAACAAUCACAAGUGAUAGUAAGUCUAACUAAACAUGAAAUCCACUGUAAUUUAAAACUUUACAUAACUGAAACAUUUAGUUAUUACAUGCUUUAUAUACAAUCAUUUACAUGUCUCUGUACAUCGAAAUAGAUAAUACAUGAACCCAAAAUGGUAUACCACUAGUACUCGGGUGUCCACUAGCUAGGCUGCUGGCUCUUGCCUCGAUCCUCGGCCUCAAAACCCGCACUGGAACCUGUAUGGUUAGUGGUGUGAGAACUACAAGAAAGUUCCCAGUGGGUUCGGCUGCCGACUUCGCCGACUCACCCACUAGGUCUAUUCAGGCAUAUGUAGGCAAGAAAAGUAAGCAAAUAGUAACCAACUAUAACAUGUAACUACUACAAUGCCUGUACAAAGCUGAAAGAAGUAACAGAUAUGAAAACUGUAAAUAUGCAUGCAUGCUUUUCAUUAACUUUACCUAAUCUUUUGAUUAACCCUCUGGUUAACAGCUGGACAAGUACGUUAGUCCAUAAAUUUACCCAAUUCAGUGGUUAACCCUUUGGUUAACAAUAACUCACCAACGAAAUCCCUCACGGGCCCUAAGCUGCCUCCCGAUGGGACCGUCUGUCGGACAAGUACGUUAGUCCUGGGGCUAGUACGUUAGCCCAACAAGUGACUACUCCGGAGCUCACUGCCUGGGGGGAGCGACCACCACCAAGCUAAGAAAACAGACUAUGUGAGUAAGAUCUGAUCCCCUUUUAGAGGAUUCAACUGACAACAAUGUCACAAUUUAACUCUAACUAGUUCUUUAUACUAGUUUCAUAAUUGCAUUUCUCGAUGCUAACCAAAUCUCUAAUCAUGAUGUCACCAAGUUUACUAUUGUCUUAGUCCUUUACAGUUUCAUAAUUUCACUGUUUAUCUCACAAUGCUAUCCAAUUCUCUAGUUAGAAUGUCACCAAGUUUACUAUUGUCAAAGUCCAUGCAUUCAUAGGGUUCUAUGUCCACAAUCUAAGGUUCACAAAUUCUCAUUGUUGAUAGGAAUUCACAUUUUCACUCGCUCAAUGCCAAACACCCUAUAAUGCGUGACUACAAAUAUAAAUAUGCUCAACGAAGAAUUAUAGACAUAAAAGGUGAUUCAAAGAGUUCGGAUAGCACCACCCACCUGUAGUGGUGUCAAUCAACUAAAAUCCACGUCUCGGAAAGCGUCGAGACUAUCUCUCGCGACUCCAUGCAAUUAGGACUAGAACGGCCGCUACCGUAAUUAGCGCGUCGUCGACCUGUCGGAAAGUCAAAUUAGACUCUUGGGCACGUUUACUUUUCACUUAUAAAGGAUUAGAAAAGAUUAAACUAGAGUCAAUACUCAUAUUUUACAAAUUAGCAUUUCAAUGCUAUAUAAAACGGCAACUAUAGCCGAAAAACUUCUUUUUGGCGAUAUCUUCGCGUAGGAGCGACGGAUUGCCGAACCGACUUCGCCAGCGCGUUUCUUUUACCCCCAAUUAGGUUUGUACGCGGUCAAUUUCAUGUCAGGGCUUCUAUCCUGCAAAAGUGCAUUAUUGGGGUCAAUUUUCAAUACAAACCCAUUUCAAUGCAAUUUCACAAUUACAUCGAGUUCUUUCAACUCGUUCUUUCUCUUUUUCUUUCUUUCAUUUUUCCUCUCUUCUAUUUCUUUUUCUUUCUUUCUUCCUUACUUGCUUUCUUUCUUUUCUUUCUUUCUUUCUUUCUUUCUUUUCUUCCUUUCUUUCUUUUCCCUGCUGCAGUUUCUUUCUUUUCUUUCUUCCCUGCAGCUGAAGCUACUGCUGCUGCUGAAGCUCCUGCUGCUGCUGCUCACUGCCUGCUGCUGAAGCUGCUGCUGCUACUCCCUGCGCAAGCUGCUGAAGCAGCUGCUGCUGACUGCUGCUGAAGCAGCAGCUGCUGCUGAAGCUGAGGCUGCUGCUGCUGCUCCUGCUGAUGCGCAGGGCUGCUGCGCAAGCUGCUGCUGACAGCAGCUACCACUGCUGACUGCCAAGCUGCUACUGAGUGCUUGCUGCUGCUGCUGAUUGCUUGCUCUGCUGCUGCUGCUGCCUGCUUGCCCUGCUGCUGCUGACUGCUCAGCAGCAGGCUGAGCUGCUGUUGCUACUCAGCUCAGCAGGGCUGAGCUGCUGAUGCUGCUGCUGCUGUUAUUGCAGCUGCUGCUGAUGCUAACUGCUGAAGCUACUGCUGCUACAACCAGUAGCAGCAGGGAGAGAUGAGAGGGAGAGAGAUGCAGGGAGAGGUUAAACUUACCUCUUUUCAUCUUCUUUCUUUUCUCUUCUUCUUCUUCUUCCUCUCUUUUCUUUUCUUCUCUUCUUUCCUCCUUCUCUCUCUCUACGUAGACAGAAUAGAGAGGUGGCAGAGGGGAUAAGGAUGGAGGGGAGCCUGGCUGGUUAGUGGAAUUCCACUAAACCUGUCCAAGUUACCAAAAUGCCCCUCGACUUAUCCGUUUCGCGACACGGAUCAAAUACCUUUCGCAGGCCCUUCCGAAAGUCCGAUUGAGCUCAAAUUUGACAGGAAUGUUCGUUUUUACUUAACAAGUCCACUGAAAUUUUAACAUUUCAGUUUCGACCCCGUUUGGUCACUGCGAACUGUCCCGAACUGUAAUCUUUAUCAGAUAACUUUCAGAUGCUAUUUCUCUCUCUACAGGUGUCAGAAAAAUCUGAAACUUCAAAUCUAGCCUCAUAAAAAUGUUCCUGACAUCUCUCCCAAUUUUCAUAAUUUUCUGACACUGUGCAUUUUCUACUAAUUUUCUCAGUCCCGUUCUUUACAGAAAAUUCUAAAGUUUUCGUUUUUGCUCCGAUUUC